UACUAUGAUUAUUGAUUAAUAUUAUUAUGAUACUGGGUUUUAACUCUGGACCAGUCCAUCUCUGUCUCUCCAUUUCCUUUUAUACACAGACUUUGAGAUCUGCCACGGAGGCAGCUGCUGCGGAAGAAGAAUUUAAAUGGCUUUUACAAGAAGAGGUCCAUGCUGUUUUGAAACAGCUGCAGGAUAUUUUGAAGGAGGCCUCUCAGCGGUUCACCCUGCCCGCCAGCGGCUCAGGAGGAGCUGUCAAGCAGGAGAACUUUGUGCUGAGCACAUCGGGCACAGACCAGGUGAAAGGUGUGUUGACGCUGCAGGGAGAUGCCCUGUGUCAAGCUGACGUUAAUCUGAAAAUGCCCAGAAAUAAUCAGCUCCUGCACUUCGCAUUUCGGGAAGACAAGCAGUGGAAAUUGCAGCAGAUCCAGGAUGCUAGAAACCAUGUUAACCAAGCCAUUUACCUGCUUAUGAACAGAGACGUAAACUACCAGUUCAAAACAGGCUCGGAAGUUCUCAAGCUUAUGGAUGCUGUGAUGUUACAGCUCUCAAGAGCCCGAAAUCGGCUUACCACUCCAGCCACUUUGACUCUACCAGAGAUUGCCUCCAGUGGUCUCACUAAAAUGUUCACCCCUGCUCUGCCUCCAGACAUCCUUGUGAAUUUCUAUAUUAACCUGAAUAAGCUGUGCCUGACUGUCUACCAACUCCAUGUGCUGCAGCCCAGCACAACCAAGAACUUCAAGCCUGCUGGAGGAUCCAUUUUACACAACCCUGGAGCCAUGUUUGAGUUUGGCAACCAGCGGUAUGAAGUCAGCCAUGUCCAUAAAGUGGAAUGUGUUGUACCAUGGUUAAAUGAUGCCCUUGUCUUCUUCACAGUUUCACUGCAGCUUUGCCAGCAACUGAAGGAUAAGAUAUCUGUUUUCUCCAGUUACUGGAACUACAGGCCAUAUUAAUUCUCUGUGGAGUGUCCAAGACCUUACAGUACUUCCAGUGUCUCUCUUUUUGUUUUCAACGUGCCAGCUGAGUCCAGGUCAGCCUGAGGAGCGCUGUGGUUCGCUACCAUGUGGCCCUCUGUAGGGUAGGGUCAGUGUAUUCAGAGACACAAUUUCAGUAGGCUUGUCUGGGACUGCUGCAUAAGCAGGGCACCAAGCAAUGCUGUGUGCCCUAGUUGGGCCAAUUGGUUUUUUCCAGGUUUAGUAUCUUGUUUUCACUGCCAGCCUUUGGAGCUGCCUCGGUACCUUGAGCACAACUGUGCAGUCUCACAUCCUGUCAUUAAACCCAAAGAGAAGAGUUCUGCUUUGAAAGCUCUAGCGGUAACUAGAGCUUUGCUAAAGGCCAUGGCUAUCAACCUGACUCAAGCCAAGGAAAAUCAAACCUGGUUCCUUAAUGAUGAAGGUGAGGCAGAGAAGUUGUUUCCUGAUGAGAUGGAGCAGCUGGAGGCUGUGUGGUUAGCUGGAGAAAUGUGGUUGGCUGCAGAACUUCACUAACACUAAUGAAGGAUGGGAUGCAGAGGGACUGCACUGGAGUUGUCUCCUGGAAAACUCAUACGUGUGCAUGACCUCGGAGCCUGAACUAGAAACAGCAACCCUUGGUGAUCGGCCAAAGGAGAGGUUGCCUGCUGUGCGUGAGUUACAUUGGUCUCAAAGCAGGCACCACCAGGUGAUACCAGAUAAAAUGCCCAUCAGGAGCCCCAAAGAGCCCCCAUCUCCUGCUUAGGCCCUUUACAGUCGAUCAGACUGGAAGGAGGCAGCUGCUUAAAGUGGAAGGGGAAGAUCCUGUUUCAUUAGCAAGGGCUCAGUGGGACUAAAGAACAGCCUCAUGUAGCAUCUGGUUCCUCUUCGCCUGAGCCCAAGGUUUCCUCUGCCUGGUUUGCUCCUGAGCUGAGUCCGAUGUUGUUGAUGCACCAGGCAUGGUAUGACUUGGCAGAGGUGGGACCUGUAAACCUUGGAGUGGCUACUGGUUUUCUGUUGUUUUGUGAGUAUUGACUAAGUAUUUCUGGGCUGGGGGGAGCUCUCUGUCACUAAUUACAGCUGCCUGGCAGAGGUGCCAGGGGAUUCCUUGCCUGGCAGGAACAAAACCAAUAAAAGUAGUUUGUUUAUGGCACUCACCAUUGGGUGAAUUUACUACAGCAGCCAAGAGCAAAUCCUGAGAGUCCUGUAUCAAACAGGCUGAAAAUUGAUCUCUAGCUUGUUGAAUCCAACUCUUUUGUGAAUGAAAGGGAGUAAAUCACUGUUCAUCCCCUUUGCCUUACCAGAGGGAGCCUCAAAAGGCUGCCCUGAUGGUGGAGGAGCAGGGAAGGAUAGGAGAGUAACAUGUUUUUCACAGAGGACAGAAGAAAGUAAGGCCUCGUACCAGGGCCAGGGGUUUCAGCAUGCAUAUCUGAGAAGCUUCCUUAAGAAUCAAGAUGGGGACUUGCCAGAAGCACUUGCGAGAGGGCACUCCAUUGUUGGAAGUGCACAACAUGCAAGUGCACUCAUGCUUGCUGGGCAAGCUGCUGCCCUGGAUACCCUGCUCUGCCAGCCAGACUCUUGCUGCCUGGCUGUGGUUGGAGUGUAGGCUCUUUGGGACAGGGACCACCUCUGCUCUGGGUUCCUACAGCAUUGUGCAUGUGUAGUGGGGGACCAUAGCUGGGAUUUCCAAGCUGUUCUGCAAUGGAGCUGGUAGCAAUGCUGGACAAGUGGCAGGGCUUUGCCAAUGGGACUGGGAAGGUAUGAGGAGAAUGUAGCAGGCUGGUUUUGAGGCCCAGACAUGUUUUGGUCUGUACAGGUCCCAGUGCUAGAGCUGGAAGGAAGGUAUGCAUUACCCCAGUGUUUGCCCAGGUCUAUGAGAUUGGGAUCAUCUGUUGGAAAGGUAGGGUAGCCCCUGAGUUAGUGAGGAGAGUUGGUUGGACUAUAUUGAGCACAGCAAGGAAGGAGUGGUAAGUUAUUCCCAGUUUUGACUGCCUAGGUGCUAGCCUCUGGUGUGGAAGUGUCUCACACUUGCAGAUUUUGGCCUCAUAAAGCUUGGCUGUUGUGAGUUACCAUCAGUCACAAUGAGAAAUAUGUUUCUCAGAUCAAGUGUUCCUUGGCUUCUCAGUCAGCUGGAGUGGCUUUUGGUUGAGAACCUCUGGGUAAGGAUGAAGGGGAAAGCAAAUAAAGCAGAUGUUACUGUAGGAGUCUACUAUUGACCACCCAGCCAGGACAACAACACCGAUGAAUUAUUAUCUACAAGUAAUUAAGGGAUAUCUCUAGAUCAACUGCCCUUCUCCUUAUGGGUGAUUUUAACUUCCCAGACAUCAACUGGGAAUAUCAUACAGCAGACACAAACAGGUCCAGGAAAUUUCUGAUGCACAUUGAAGGUAACUUCUUGGUACAAGUACUGAGGGAGCCAACUAGGAAAGGGGCCUUCCUAGAUUUGUAGUUUGUAACCAGAGAGGGACUCGUGGGUGAAGUGGUGAUUGGUGGCUGGCUUGGUCACAGUGACCACAAAGUAGUUGAGUUUCAAAGUGUUGGUGAUAGGAGAAAAACUGCCAGCAAAAUUUCAACGCUGGAUAUGGGGAGAGCAGACUUCAGGCUGCUGAGGGGGCUAGUCAGUAAGAUCCCCUGGGAAUCUGCUUUUGAAGGUAUUGGGGUCCAUGAAUGCUGGUCACUUUUUAAGAGCCAUCUCUUAAGAGCGCAGGAGCAGGCAAUUCCAAAGUGUCAGAAGUCAUGCAAGUAUGGCAGAAGGCCGGCUUGGCUGAGCAGGGAUCAUCUUUCAGAAUUUAUGCAGAAAAAGAAAGCGUACAGACAUUGGAAGCAAGGACAGGCAACACGGGAGGACCACAGGGAUGCUGUUCGCCACUGUAGGGAGAAAAUUUGUGUGGCCAAAGCUCGAUUAGAGUUCAAGCUGGCCAGCACUGUGAAGGACAACAAAAAGAGCUUUUUAAAAUAUGUUAACAGCAAAAGGAGAACCAGAGGUAACAUUGAUGAGGUCAGUCAACUCACAAAUAGAGACGCAGAAAAAGCAGAGAUGUUUAAUGCCUUCUUUGCCUCUGUCUUUAACACCCAUGAUGGGCUCUGGGGCCACCAGAGCCCUGUGUUGGAAGACCAUGACUGAGGGUAUGAUAAAAUCCUAGCUGACCCUGAACUUGUUUGAGACUUGCUGCUCCA